UACAGAGGUGGCAAGCGUUGUUCGGAAUUACUGGGCGUAAAGGGCGCGUAGGCGGUCCGAUAAGUCCCGUGUGAAAGCCCCCGGCUCAACUGGGGAACUGCACGGGAAACUGACGGACUUGAGUUCGGGAGAGGGAAGCGGAAUUCCGGGUGUAGCGGUGAAAUGCGUAGAUAUCGUGAGGAACACCAGAGGCGAAGGCGGCUACCUGGACAAUUGCUGACGCUCAGGCACGAAAGCGUGGGGAGCAAAAGGG
rnacentral:rRNA from 1 species